UCCAACCAUCUAGAGUAUAGACUGAAAAAACAUGAAAAAGAAAACCCCCACCCACGCCAAAUACCCAAACCCUACCUCCUCCCAUUGCACUCUUCCCCGCACCCGCAUCUCCUCUUUGCGCUCCCAAGCCCUAGGGUUAGCCGCCGCCGCCGACGACCUUAUUCCGACGAGCUCCGGCGGCCAUGGCCUGUGCGCAGCAUGCUGCGGAGCUCACCUCGCACCGCUUCGUCAAUCCCUCCAUCCAUAUCUGCCCUCCAUGCCUCCAAUGCUCGCGCUAAACCCAUCCCCCACGGCUAGGGUUCGGGGCACGGCCUCGUCUCCGCCAUCGGCGUUGCGUUGCGGAGCCUCAUAGAUCUUACAGAGCCUAACACCGGCCAGCGACCAGCUCCUAGGUUUUCUCCUUCUAUGCUGCCGCCACCAUCGGCUUGAUAUCCGGCCAUCGGUGUCCCUCUCUCCUCUCGCCGGUGGUUUGAGAUCCGCCUGGUCCCUGAAGCACUCCAUCCAAAUCUCCACCUCCCACCUCCGAGUGCGUGGAAAUCUUCCACGAUUUGCAUCCCCCAUCAUGAACUGGUUGUCGUCCGAGCUGCCUCUCCUGCAGCUGGGUGCGGCUUCUCCACGGACGCCCACUAGUUUCCCCUCAUGCAACCAGACCUACAUGGUCAACAAAGACCAACCACUGAUUCUCCCUCCAUCGAGCAUAUCUUUGCCACCGACGCCGCCGUCCUACUUUUACUCCACUCCCGAACUGAGGUACCUCUGUCCUUUGCGUCUCAACUUUUUCUUGCUACAUUGAUCCAAUAUCACUUGUUUUUAUGUUCUCCUACAUUCCUUGUUGUAGAAAUUUGAUAUUCUGUUUCGGAUACAAGUGUUGCUUGUCCAUACGUGUGAGUUGCGUUGCCUUCAUGCAUGUACGAGGUGUUGAUAGCUUCACAGGUUUCUAUAUUCAGGGAGCAAGAGAGAUGAGGCGCCGAUCCCGGAGGAGGUGUCCAAAUACUCAUGUGUGUGCUAUGGUUGUGCUCAGUUUGUUGUUGAGUAUAUGUUGGUCCUAAUAUCCCCUUGGUUGCAAUGCUUCUCCUAACUAUGGAUACUGUUUAGUGCUCCUAUUUAUACAUGACUUAUGAUGAUGCUAUGGUAGGGUUUCUGUAAGCUAUUAUUUAUGAUUUAGGCGAUGUACUGUGUACACACUUGCUACUUGUUAUUGGCAUGGUCUCUAUUGUUAGCAGCAAAUGCUUAACUAUAAUUUCUAGAAUUGGUCAUGAGCUAAAAUUACUAUGAUCGAUUUUACUUGUGAUGUGCAACUACUUAAUUGGAUUGUUGUGUGUUUCCGCAUUAUGCAGAUUUACAUGUUAUCAUAUGUAUGUUGCCUGAUUGAUCGCUCAUGAUCAAAUUCUUAUAGGCGUUGGGUGGCGGCGUCCUUCCAUCACCACCUACCCCUUGGCAACUCAUUUUAUUUCUGUACCAAGUACAUCUACUUCAACUACUCCAGCCUCUAUGUGUAGGUAUUUAUGCCAUUGACCACAAACCCUAGAUUCAACUUGCUUUUUAUAAUAUGUUGUGACUUUGCACUAUGCUCUCAUUCAUCUAUGUCGAAUAGAGAUUUCAAAUGUGUCGUCAUGCUAGAGUCUGAGUCUAGUGGGGCCAGCAAUAGUGGGGAGCUGCAAAUUACCUUUCUUGAUCUGAAUUGUGAACAUAUGAUGAUUUUUUUGUUGCAAAUAAAUGGAAGGUGAUGCUUUUGCCUGUUUCUUGCUAUUCCUUAUCCUAUACGCCUAUCUUAGUUACCGUCAUUUUUCAGAACACGGCACUACUUAAACUAACCGCACGUGGCUUCAUUUUGCUCAGAAUAUUCUUACUGAGUAUAGCGAUAUUUAUUGCACCAGUAUGUGAAUCGAACCGUAUUGAAUAAUAUUUAACCACAUCAAAUGACAUUUCUUUAUUUGACAAUAGGCAUGUAAACCACAACCUUCUGUUCUGUAUGUUCUUCUCAUAUGUGAUCCUUUUAAUGUCCGGAAGUUCAUCAUUCCAGAAUCGGCUACUCAGAAGAAGUGGAAAGUGGAAGACGGACGAUGCUAUGGUUUCUCAAUUUGCUGUUACACGUGAACAAUUUAAUUUUAUGUUCUUUAAUGUGUUACAUUGAAGGCUGGACUUGUUGGAAAGUGGUUGUAUUNNNNN
rnacentral:lncRNA from 1 species